AUGCUAAUAGAGCUAUUUCAAGGUGUGGCAGUUGAUGGAUCAUCAGCUUAUGUGCCCAUAGAUGAAGAUGAAGAAGAAGAUGUUGUUGCCGAUGAUGGAAAUGAGGAGAGUCCAAUGAGCACCACCAGCAGGAAGAGGGGAAGCAGCUGCGGUGAACAGUCAGCUUCAAGCCCAGGCAAGAAACACAAGAGCCCAAUGGUGAAACUAAUGACAGGGCUCAUCAAUAUAACUAGUGAGAACACUUCUGACAUGAUCACUGAAUAUGCAAACAAAAGACAGGAAGCAAAGGACAAGGCAAAAGAGAAGAAAGCAAACAACACUAAGGAAUCCAUUACUCAUUGUCAACUGUUGGCAGUUCAAUGUGGUGCAGAAGAAACAAGUGUUGAGUACUUCAUGGCAACUCAACUGUUUGCAGAUGAGGCAAAUAGAGUCAUAUUUCAGAACAUUUCAAGUGAUCAGGCUAGACUGACUUGGUUGAAGAGGUGGUGCAUGAUGAAGAAGCUGUCCUAG
rnacentral:rRNA from 1 species